rnacentral:rRNA from 1 species
AACGAACGCUGGCGGCAGGCUUAACACAUGCAAGUCGAACGCUCGUAGCAAUACGGGAGUGGCGGACGGGUGAGUAACGCGUGGGAACGUGCCCUGAGGUACGGAAUAACUGCGGGAAACUGCAGCUAAUACCGUAUGAGCCCCGUGAGGGGGAAAGAUUUAUCGCCUUAGGAGCGGCCCGCGUCGGAUUAGCUAGUUGGUGGGGUAACGGCUUACCAAGGCUUCGAUCCGUAGCUGGUCUGAGAGGACGAUCAGCCACACUGGGACUGAGACACGGCCCAGACUCCUACGGGAGGCAGCAGUGGGGAAUCUUGCGCAAUGGGGGCAACCCUGACGCAGCCAUGCCGCGUGAAUGAUGAAGGCCUUAGGGUUGUAAAGUUCUUUUGCCCGUGACGAUGAUGACGGUAACGGGAGAAUAAGCUCCGGCUAACUUCGUGCCAGCAGCCGGGUAAACUGUCUACG